CACGCCCUAAACGUUGAUUACUCGCUGUUGGCGAUACACUGUCAGCGGCUAAGCGAAAGCGGUAAGUAAUCCACCUGGGGAGUACGGUCGCAAGAUUGAAACUCAAAGGAAUUGACGGGGGCCCGCACAAGCGGAGGAGCAUGUGGUUUAAUUCGAUGAUACGCGAGGAACCUUACCUGGGCUUGAAUGUGAGUGACCGGUGCCGAAAGGUACUUUCCCUUCGGGGCACAAAACAAGGUGC
rnacentral:rRNA from 1 species